rnacentral:rRNA from 1 species
GUCGAGCGGAUGAAGGGAGCUUGCUCCUGGAUUCAGCGGCGGACGGGUGAGUAAUGCCUAGGAAUCUGCCUGGUAGUGGGGGAUAACGUCCGGAAACGGGCGCUAAUACCGCAUACGUCCUGAGGGAGAAAGUGGGGGAUCUUCGGACCUCACGCUAUCAGAUGAGCCUAGGUCGGAUUAGCUAGUUGGUGGGGUAAAGGCCUACCAAGGCGACGAUCCGUAACUGGUCUGAGAGGAUGAUCAGUCACACUGGAACUGAGACACGGUCCAGACUCCUACGGGAGGCAGCAGUGGGGAAUAUUGGACAAUGGGCGAAAGCCUGAUCCAGCCAUGCCGCGUGUGUGAAGAAGGUCUUCGGAUUGUAAAGCACUUUAAGUUGGGAGGAAGGGCAGUAAGUUAAUACCUUGCUGUUUUGACGUUACCAACAGAAUAAGCACCGGCUAACUUCGUGCCAGCAGCCGCGGUAAUACGAAGGGUGCAAGCGUUAAUCGGAAUUACUGGGCGUAAAGCGCGCGUAGGUGGUUCAGCAAGUUGGAUGUGAAAUCCCCGGGCUCACCUGGGAACUGCAUCCAAAACUACUGACUAGAGUACGGUAGAGGGUGGUGGAAUUCCUGUGUAGCGGUGAAAUGCGUA